GUGAAUCAUCGAAUCUUUGAACGCAAAUUGCACCCCCUGGUAUUCCGGAGAGCAUGCCUGUUUGAGGGUCAGUUUAAAUAAAAAUCGGUGUGGUUGCUGCCUUUUGUGGUGACGCACUGGAUUUGGGUCGUCUUGCAUUCGGUUAAGUGACCUAAAAUUUUGCAUGAUUUUUUCGAACCCACUCAAAUGAUUUUA
rnacentral:misc_RNA from 1 species